rnacentral:misc_RNA from 1 species
AGAUUGGUUUCAAAAUCAAUACAAAAUAGAUAUGGGCCAAUGUUCAACAAUAUGAGAAACCAGCACAAAUGAACUUUGACCUUUCCCAGGGUGCCUCGUGGAGGUCAUUUUUCACCCGCAGCUUUCCAAACACAGGGAUCGCUAGUUAUCAGCCAGAGAGACUGUACUAUAAACCCACAAACAAGAAUGCUGUCCUUGACCUUCAGGAGAAGAUAGAGACACUGCUGAAGAACAAGAUAAUGGAGUGGAGGAGUCGGCUGAUCACGCGCUGGAACAGGCACUGUACGCAGAUCAUGAGGAAGCUCCUCCCCGUUUUGGAAGAAAACCUAGGACAUAGCCCUGGGGAGCAGCACUUGGCAGAGCUGGAGAGUACGUUUUCCGCGUACAAAGUUUCAGGAUUUCCCAUCAACAUGCCGUACAAUGAGAUCAACCCAAUCGUGGAUGCGGUGUUCUCCACACGAGUACAUGCCCACGACACCAGUGAUGUGGAGUUUGCUCUGGCUGUCUACAUCCACCCUUACCCCAACGAUGUGCUGUCUGUGUGGGUCUAUGUGGCCUCCCUGAUCAGGAGUCGAUGAGUGCCCCCCCUCCCCCCCUAGACAUUAAUAACUUGAAAUAUCAAACUGUGAUACAUGCAUAUCAAAGAUUUAGCGCUUUUAUUUAUUUAAUUUAAUCAUGAGAGAAUGUGUAUUUUAGUGCAUACUUUAUUAAUGGUUCUUUCAUUUCCGUCCAGUGAUAUUUGUUUUAGAUCGUGAACAAAUGUGAUAAAUUCGUGAAUAAAUAGAAGAGAUCCGUG